UAUUUAUCCUAUUCCUCUCCUUGUUGAUGAGCCUGCGCUUGUGGGAUUCCAAUUAGUUCCCUCUAGAUAUAUUAGUAUGUUUAGAUGUGGUGAUGCUGGGAUCAGUAGCGAGUGUUCUACUAUAGCAUUCUUGUUUCAUUAGUAGUUUGUGGAACUGUAAGCCAGUGAUGAUCUAGCCUGGCUUGGCACUGGCAUAUUCUAUCUGUGGUUGCAGUGCCUCUUUUGAAGUGUGCUAGUGUUUGGACAUGCAUCAGCUUGUGAUACAAAUGCUGCUACCAUGUAACCACUAUUGUCAGUCAUGUGCUGGAGCUGCUGACCGGACAGUCACCGGUGUUCUCCAAGGGUGCAUCAUUUCACGUCACAUCCAUUUUCUUUAUUGACAAUAUGCAAAUGUUUUACAAGAGCUCCACGCCGAAAGAAGUUUGAAGACACGUGAAGCCCUACUCAGCAAAAAGUAUCAGUUACUAUAUAUGUAGAGUUGGUUAUCCUGUGUGUGAUAUAUGAUGUAAUAGACUGAUGCUUGCUGUUAUUUAAAGUACAACUUAUGAUUAAUGCUCUGA